GUUAUCCGCAUAUAUUGGGUUUAAAGGGUGCGUAGGCGGCCUUUGAAGUCAGCGGUGAAAGUCUGUGGCUCAACCAUAGAAUUGCCGUUGAAACUGGGGGGCUUGAGUAUGUUUGAGGCAGGCGGAAUGCGUGGUGUAGCGGUGAAAUGCAUAGAUAUCACGCAGAACCCCGAUUGCGAAGGCAGCCUGCCAAGCCAUGACUGACGCUGAUGCACGAAAGCGUGGGGAUCAAACAGGAUUAGAUACCCUGGUAGUCCACGCAGUAAACGAUGAUUACUAGCUGUUUGCGAUACACAGUAAGCGGCACAGCGAAAGCGUUAAGUAAUCCACCUGGGGAGUACGCCGGCAACGGUGAAACUCAAAGGAAUUGACGGGGGCCCGCACAAGCGGAGGAACAUGUGGUUUAAUUCGAUGAUACGCGAGGAACCUUACCCGGGCUUGAAUUGCAACUGAAUGAUGUGGAGACAUGUCAGCCGCAAGACAGUUGUGAAGGUGCUGCAUGGUUGUCGUCAGCUCGUGCCGUGAGGUGUCGGCUUAAGUGCCAUAACGAGCGCAACCCUUAUCACUAGUUACUAACAGGUGAAGCUGAGGACUCUGGUGAGACUGCCAGCGUAAGCUGUGAGGAAGGUGGGGAUGACGUCAAAUCAGCACGGCCCUUACAUCCGGGGCGACACACGUGUUACAAUGGCAUGGACAAAGGGCAGCUACCUGGCGACAGGAUGCUAAUCUCCAAACCAUGUCUCAGUUCGGAUCGGAGUCUGCAACUCGACUCCGUGAAGCUGGAUUCGCUAGUAAUCGCGCAUCAGCCAUGGCGCGGUGAAUACGUUCCCGGGCCUUGUACACACCGCCCGUCAAGCCAUGGGAG
rnacentral:rRNA from 1 species